rnacentral:tRNA from 1 species
AUUUAAGUAGUUUAUUAUAAAAUUUUGGUUUGUGGGGCCAAGGAUGUAAAGUGUUACCUUAAAUC